rnacentral:rRNA from 1 species
AUUGAACGCUGGCGGCAGGCCUAACACAUGCGAGUCGAGCGGAUGAAGGGAGCUUGCUCCUGGAUUCAGCGGCGGACGGGUGAGUAAUACCUAGGAAUCUGCCUGGUAGUGGGGGAUAACGUCCGGAAACGGGCGCUAAUACCGCAUACGUCCUGAGGGAGAAAGUGGGGGAUCUUCGGACCUCACGCUAUCAGAUGAGCCUAGGUCGGAUUAGCUAGUUGGUGGGGUAAAGGCCUACCAAGGCGACGAUCCGUAACUGGUCUGAGAGGAUGAUCAGUCACACUGGAACUGAGACACGGUCCAGACUCCUACGGGAGGCAGCAGUGGGGAAUAUUGGACAAUGGGCGAAAGCCUGAUCCAGCCAUGCCGCGUGUGUGAAGAAGGUCUUCGGAUUGUAAAGCACUUUAAGUUGGGAGGAAGGGCAGUAAGUUAAUACCUUGCUGUUUUGACGUUACCAACAGAAUAAGCACCGGCUAACUUCGUG